UAAUCAUCUAAUUUGCUGAUUACAGGUCUCAAAUUGCCACAGAGAACUCAAUUUUUGAAAGAAUUGUCCUGUUUGAUCAAAUAUGUUAUUCAAGCAAUGCAGUCAUUUGUUCCACAAGGUUACCUGCCAGGCAGAGCUAACCAGGAGUAAUAGCAUUAGAAGCCUAUACUUAAAAUCAAGCAUUAGCUAAUCUGUCUGUGACAAUAGAGUCUUAAAUAUAAUUUGCUGCAGAUACUUCAGUUCCUGCACCGACAGACAAUUGCAUUUUGUAUUCAACGAGCAUAGAUUUUUCCUGCCUCAUCCCAAUUCCGAAUUUAACUCCCGAAGACUCUAAUGUGCUCAGUUUCACAGGUUUACCAGGUACUAUUUCCCAGGAGCCCCAGACGGGAGGGCAACGCUGUCCUGUACUGAAUAACGACUCCCUCUGCUCCCCGCCGCCCUGCCCGUCUCUUAAAUCAUUUUUCCUGAUCAAUGCCAAUUCCCAAAAUUGUGUAGCCUCUGACUGCAGUGAGUUCUGGGCUGAUGCUGGCUUCCCCGGGGUGGUGUGUGAGGUGCCCUCCGUCGUGAGCCCCGGCUCUGCGCUGGGCACCCCCAGGGCUGGAGACCAAAGAGCACGGAUACAAUCCCAGAGCGCAGGUGAGCAGGUCUGGAACCCGGGGAGCAUGGGGGCGUGGGAAAGGCCUGGAGCAGGGCCGGUACUUCAGUUGGAGAGGGUGCUGCUGUGUCCGCACCCCCCCCCCCCCCCCCAGCCAGUGAAAAGCGGUCACGGUCACGAGUCAGCGGAAGAAGAAGGAGAGAAGGCAGAGGAGGUGACAGAGGCCACGUCACAAGGGGCUUUUACGCGUCAGGCUGGACACAGGCCCGAUGUCCCCGGCAGCAGGGAGCUGGUGUUUGUGAAGAGGACAGUGAUGGGCUCACAGCUACAUCUGGAGGCUGACAUUGAAGAAACAAGCCCAGAUUCAUGCCUCUCAGGGUCCUGGGAACAUGACUGUGCGCUCCAUGCACGAGUGAUUUCUAAGUGGCCCUGCCUCAGUGACUGCCCCACCUCUCCCUUUAGGCCAGUCCCUGUGCUGGCCGGCC
rnacentral:lncRNA from 1 species